UCGGAUGUGGUGCACGGUGCACAUUGGCUUCUUGUAAAGUGUUCAACCAAUGUGAUAGCUGAAGAACGGGGUUCGACUUCCCGCAUCCGAA